rnacentral:rRNA from 1 species
CAGUAGCCGCGGGAAAACGAAGGGUGCAAGCGUUAAUCGGAAUUACUGGGCGUAAAGCGCGCGUAGGUGGUUCAUUAAGUUGGAUGUGAAAGCCCUGGGCUCAACCUGGGAACUGCAUCCAAAACUGGUGAGCUAGAGUACGGUAGAGGGUAGUGGAAUUUCCUGUGUAGCGGUGAAAUGCGUAGAUAUAGGAAGGAACACCAGUGGCGAAGGCGACUACCUGGACUGAUACUGACACUGAGGUGCGAAAGCGUGAGGAGCAAACAGGAUUAGAUACCCCCGUAGUCCCUGUCUCUUAUAA